rnacentral:rRNA from 1 species
UUUGUAGAACGGGCCAACGAGUUACGUUAAGUAGCAAGGUUAAGCACUUAAGGUGCGGAGCCGUAGCGAAAGCGAGUUUUAACUGAGCGUUCAGAUACUUGACGUAGACCCGAAACCGGGCGACCUACCCCUGAGCAGUAUGAAGCGAAAGUAAAAUUUCGUGGAGGUCCGAACCCACGAGCGUUGAAAAGCUCGGGGAUGACUUGUGGGUAGCGGUGAAAUUCCAAUCGAGCCCGGAGAUAGCUGGUUCUCCCCGAAAUAGCUUUAGGGCUAGCCUCAAGGUGAGAGAUACGGAGGUAGAGCACUGAAUGUCCUAGGGGGUAUUGCACCUACCGAAG